ensembl:misc_RNA 7SK 7SK RNA
AUGUGAGGGGACUAGCUAUGACAUCAGUUACCAGCAAUGAUCUUGCUGAUCUGGUUUUUGGCUGGUUGGGUGGGUUCACUUUCUGCAUAACCACUAUAAUCUCCAUCCUUCCUCAAGCUGCAUAUUCACUGGAAGAGGGCCACCUUCCUUCCAUUAUAGAAAAGAACUAGUCUUCAUUCAAGCGUGUAGGAGUAGCUGUAUUUCCUUUCUAGAACUUUCAACCUCGCUCUCAAAUAACUUAAUAAAAUUUGAGUGUUCCAUUAGGGAAAAUAGUAUAAUAUGUAAUGUGUAUCCAUGUAACUAAAAAUUGUUCUAGUUUGUAACAU